AAACCAACCGGGAUUGCCUCAGUAACGGCGAGUGAAGCGGCAAAAGCUCAAGUUUGAAAUCUUCGGAAUUGUAAUGAAGGUCAUGGCCAGGCAGUAAGUCCAUUGGAACAUGGCGCCACAGAGGGUGACAGCCCCGUUUGCCUCAGGCCUGCGGCCUUCGCCAGAGUCGAGUUGUUUGGGAAUGCAGCUCUAAUUGGUGGUAAAUUCCAUCUAAAGCUAAAUACCGGCGAGAGACCGAUAGCGAACAAGUACAGUGAUGGAAAGAUGAAAAGCACUUUGAAAAGAGAGUGAAACAGUACGUGAAAUUGUUGGAAGGGAAGGGCUUGCAGGCAGGGAAAGGGUGCACAGGCGGGGGGCCAAAACCGGCCGGGAACGUGGCUUUCGAGUGUUAUAGCCCGGCCCCAUGGCCCCACUGCCUCUGUGCCUUUUCAGAAUGGCUGCAAGUCGCCCGUCUUG
rnacentral:rRNA from 1 species